AACAAACGCUGGCGGCGUGCCUAACACAUGCAAGUCGUACGAGAAAGGGUCCUUCGGGGCCUGAGUAAAGUGGCGCACGGGUGAGUAACGCGUGGAUAAUCUGCCCUUCAGUUGGGAAUAACUCAUCGAAAGGUGGGCUAAUACCGAAUAAUGCUGUGAGACCUCGGUUGAUCAGCCAAAGGGAGCCUCUGCUUGCAAGCCCUCGCUGAAGGAUGAGUCCGGGUACCACUAGCUAGUUGGUAGGGUAAUGGCCUACCAAGGCGACGAUGGUUAGCUGGUCUGAGAGGAUGAUCAGCCACACUGGAACUGAGACACGGUCCAGACUCCUACGGGAGGCAGCAGUGAGGAAUCUUGCGCAAUGGGGGCAACCCUGACGCAGCAACGCCGCGUGAGUGAGGAAGGUCUUCGGAUCGUAAAGCUCUGUCGGAUGGAAAGAACCGCAUAGGGGUAAACAGCCCCUGUGUCUGACGGUACCAUCAAAGGAAGCACCGGCUAACUCCGUGCCAGCAGCCGCCGUAAUAC
rnacentral:rRNA from 1 species